UGGGGUAUGGUGCAACGGCAGCACACCUGACUCUGGAUCAGGCAAUCUAGGUUCGAAUCCUGGUACCCCAGCCA
rnacentral:tRNA from 1 species